rnacentral:rRNA from 1 species
AGAGUUUGAUCCUGGCUCAGAUUGAACGCUGGCGGCAGGCCUAACACAUGCAAGUCGAGCGGUAGAGAGAAGCUUGCUUCUCUUGAGAGCGGCGGACGGGUGAGUAAUACCUAGGAAUCUGCUGAUAGUGGGGGAUAACGUUCGGAAACGGACGCUAAUACCGCAUACGUCUACGGGAGAAAGCAGGGGACUUUCGGGCCUUGCGCUAUCAGAUGAGCCUAGGUCGGAUUAGCUAGUUGGUGAGGUAAUGGCUCACCAAGGCUACGAUCCGUAACUGGUCUGAGAGGAUGAUCAGUCACACUGGAACUGAGACACGGUCCAGACUCCUACGGGAGGCAGCAGUGGGGAAUAUUGGACAAUGGGCGAAAGCCUGAUCCAGCCAUGCCGCGUGUGUGAAGAAGGUCUUCGGAUUGUAAAGCACUUUAAGUUGGGAGGAAGGGCAGUUACCUAAUACGUGAUUGUCUUGACGUUACCGACAGAAUAAGCACCGGCUAACUCUGUGCCAGCAGCCGCGGUAAUACAGAGGGUGCAAGCGUUAAUCGGAAUUACUGGGCGUAAAGCGCGCGUAGGUGGUUUGUUAAGUUGAAUGUGAAAUCCCCGGGCUCAACCUGGGAACUGCAUCCAAAACUGGCAAGCUAGAGUAUGGUAGAGGGUAGUGGAAUUUCCUGUGUAGCGGUGAAAUGCGUAGAUAUAGGAAGGA